GCUGCCCGCUGCCGGAUAGGAGGGACCGCAGAGGGGAGAUUUGGGUGGCCGGAGCCCCUGGGGGUGGUGGUGGGGGGAACCUCUGCAGGGUUACCGUAGCGCUGGGGAGAGAGUUAAGGGAGGAAGGGUCCUGUGGGGUCGAGGUCCUGGUUUCACCCCAGGCGCGAAACCCCUAAUAGACACUGAAUACAGAGCCCGUGACUGAAUGGAGGCAGGCAGGGAGCCUCCCUUGGGAGAAUCUUGGGGCAGGGAGAAGGCCCCAGAGAGCUCGUGUGGGAAGGGAAAGGGGCCCUGGGCAAGACAGCAAGCGGGUGAGACUGUCUGGGGAGGGGAGGAGUGUGGGGCUGUGGAGUGAGCGCGGUGGACUGGAGUGCUGGAGGAUCACAGCGCCAGUGUAGGCCUUGGCGAGCCAGAGCCUGUAGAUGAAAGGAGACUUCAUAUCAGGUAGGAAGGUGGAAAUGGCCAGACCCCAGACAUAAGGUCUGCCCAGAGGCCUGUGUGCUCGGAGAGUGGAAGGUAGGUUUAGGGGGUGGUGGGACUUAAGGUUAGGUAGGUACCCUGUAGCCAAGUCAUUAAAGGCUUUGAAUGCUGGGGUGAGGAAUUUGGAUUUGGCCUUGCAGGUGGCAAUGACGGCCUCUGAGCAAGAAGAGUAGUGACUGACUUAAAGGCAAGGUUAUCUGUGUGUAACAUUACUGCUUCCCAUUCCGUCUUUGCUGAAGAAUUAGGCAUGGAUAUGCUAAUUUUUAUAGUCAUUUAACACUGUGUAACUGCAUUUAUCAAACGAUUAAGUGUUGGAUUUUUAAAAAUAGUAAAGUUGAAAAAUCUGAUUCAAUAUUUGAUUUAAAACCCAAAGUUGAGGCUAUCAAGAUUAGUUACAUGGCAUUGUCGUGCUUUUGUGCCCCUUUUUCUCGCAGUGACCUGAGUGAACUCUGUUUCUAGUGCCUCAGUUUUGUAUCAGCACAAUCCUUCUAGUUUUCCCCUCCUUCAUCUUAUGGUCUUUAUUUUUAACCUUAACUUUCUUCUGUGCAGCCAUUUAAACUGCCCUAUAACCCAAACCAAGUAAAACAUUUCUUGGAGUGGGGCACUGGGCUACGGUAUACAAAUAACCCAGCUUUACAUAUGUAUUAUAUUAUUAUCUUCUGUGCACAUGUAUGUAACUGUGGAGUUUCUGUGUUUAGCCUGUGGCUGAUAAAAAGAGAGAGAAAGCUAAAGCUGUUUUAUUCACAAUAGUAUUUAUAUAACAGUACUUAUUAGUCUGAUUUCUAAAAUCAACUCUAUGAUGGUAUUUGUCUCAGAAACUGACGCUCAUUCUAUCAUAUCAUGAUCUUUAUAUUUAUUUUAUCUUGGGCUGAAGGCAAUUCCAAGAAUUAGGAUUUUAAUAAUUUAUUUUAAAGAUCUUUAAAUCCUGCAGUUGCCUUUGGCCCCAAACAAGAAAAUCUGGGUCAGUUAAUUUUAAAAAAAGAAAAUGAUUUACUAUAUUGGGCCCUGCUGCUCUCUCCUGUGCUGUUUCAGUCCCAGCCCUACCUUAUUCCCAGUGGCUUUUGCCUUCAUUCCUUCUUUGCUCUGCGGGGCAUCUUUGGAGGAAAACUUCACACCAACUUCCUCUACCAUAAAUUCUCUCCCUUCCUUCAACUCUACACUUCUCUUUGCCAAUGUACACCACUACUUCUUCAUUGAUUUUUUUUUUUUUUUUUUUUAACCUACAGCCCUUUCUGGCUCUUUUCCAUCUUUAACACUCUCUUGUUGAAAUCUUCUCUUUUCCUCCUUUCUGUUUGGUAAGACCUUAGAUUUUUAAAAGAUUGGAUUUUACUUAUUAUUUAUUCUGCAUGAUCUGUCUUCCUUCCUCUUCUCUCACCUUUUUCUGAUUUGGGGCUGUUUGUAAACCCUGUUAUGCUUGCUUUGACCAACGCUUCAACCUUCCCCUUGUGAUUAAGCAUUCUUCCUCUAGGUACAGCAGAAAACGCUUAUGUUUCCACUCUUUUUCCUACAAGGAAAAGUUUUCAAAUUUACAUCGACUUCAGCCUCUUCUUCCAACAUUUUGCAUCCAGCAGCAUGACGUGGUCAAUUGUAAAGUCCAUUGAGUGACUCCACUUAAGCUUGAUGUUGUGCUAGGCACUGAAUAGUGAAUUUCACAAUCCUGACACCAGUUUCCUCAGCAAUUGCCAACAAUAGAUAUUACCACAUGCGUGCGUGUGAAUUCUUUCGUGUAUAUGCUAAAAUGCACAGACAGUAUAACAAGUCAGUAUGUGUGUAUGAAUAUAUGUUCAGGAUAUGACAUUAUAAUCAAGGUAAGUGCAUUUUGGGGUAGAAGAUGAGGAUGGGUAAGUUGAUAGGAUAGAAGGUUAACAGACAUCAUCCUUUGGUAUUCUGUAUUCAGAUGAGAAAGAUGAGUGGAGCCAUUCCUAUACAGAUGAGAUCACACGAAGGACGCUGAGUUUCAGGAGUUGUGAGAGAUGACAAGGAAGGGUUUGGUGAACGGCAGGAGGAUGGGAUAGAGGGGCCAGAGUCCAAGAACAUUCCUAUACUCAGCUCGGUACUCUCUCUGGCAGAGAAUAGAAAAGAUUGUCUGGUUGUAGUAGUGGUUUCAACUAUGAUCAAGAUUCCAUUAAUAACCCAUAUACCCAUAUUGAAGUUUUCUACCUUGUCUCUGUGCCAUUUGAACCAUUCUUAACAAGUUCUUACCAUUUUUUUUUCUCCUUACGAACUAUUACGUUCAUGAUAGCCCCUACCACCAAUAAUUAGCCCCUAGCUAACCACCAUUAAUUUUGACUAAAUUACCUGGCUACUUAUAAAUUUUCAUUGUUCCUGCCUGCUCUACAAUCUAUUUAUGGCAGUAGUGACUUUUAAAAUUCUAUUUAUGACUCUCACUUUUAUUUAUAAAUUGCUCUCUUCUUAAAAUUAUAGACUCAAAACUAGAUACUUAGAAGGCAUCUAGUUCUUUGUUGUCUCUGAAAGAUGAUCAAGUUGAUCUUUGCUUUCUCUAUAUUGAAUAAAAUGGGUUACUUCCUCCUGCAGUCAGAGGCCACCCCUUCUGUUAUCUGGCUCUAGGUACUAGAGGCUUGUUAAGCUGAAAUCUGGCUUCUUAUAGCAUCUCAUUUUCCCCCUUAGUUCUGCUCUUUGAAAUGAUAUGGAAGAAAUCGACUUGUUUUUCAGUGCGGCACUCUUUAAAGAUUUGAAAAGCGUUUGUUUUUUGUUAGCUAUUUGUCUAAGCUUUUUUCUUUAGCACUGUCUAAUAGAACUUUCUGUGAUGAUAGAAAUGUUCUCUACCUGUCUUGGCUAAUCAGUAGCCACUAGUCAUAUGUGGCUUUUGAGCACUUGAAAUAUGGCUAGUGUGAGGAAUGGAAUUUUAAAUUUAAAUUUUUUUUUUAACGUUUAUUUACUUUUGAGACAGAGAGAGACAGAGCAUGAACGGGGGAGGGUCAGAGAGAGAGAGGGAGACACAGAAUCUGAAACAGGCUCCAGGCUCUGAGCUGUCAGCACAGAGCCCGACGCGGGGCUCGAACUCACUAGCCGUGAGAUCAUGACCUGAGCUGAAGUCCGAUGCUUAACCGACUGAGCCACCCAGGCGCCCCUGGAAUUUUAAAUUUUAAUUAAUUUAAAUGUAAAUAGCCAUAUGAGGUGAGUGGCUGUUGUGUUAGUACAGCUCUAAACUCAGAGUUAGUAUGUUGUCAUAUGGCUGUCUUUUGGCUACUCCAUAAAUCUUAUGGUCAUUUCAAAAAAUGGUAAAAAUGUGUGUAACUGGGCUCUUGGUCUGCCUAAAGGCCAGUCUUCUAUGUUGUCACAGCUGAGAAACAACACAAACCCAAAGCCUUGAUGAGUAAUGUCAGUUUUUAUUGAAGGGGUAAAAGAUGAAGGUUAGAAUCUCAUCUCUCAUAUACCAAAAGCAAUGCUUAAGAAAAAAUUUCUCAGGGCGCCUGGGUGGCUUGGUUGGUUAAGCGUCCAACUCUUGAUUUCAGCUCAGGUCACAAUCUCACGGUUUGUGAGAUCAAGCCCUGCCCUGCGUCAGGCUCUGUUGCUGACAGCACAGUGUGGAACCUGCUUGGGAUUCUUUCCCUCUUCCCCUCUGUCUGCCCCUCCCCUGCUUGUGCUUGCUCGCUCUCAAAUAAACAUUAAAAAAAAGGGGGGGGGGGAGGGGGGAGAAAUCUGCAUUUAAUCUCUUCCCCAAAGAGAAAGAGUCCCUGAGGUCCCUCUCCCUCAAGAGGCUAACAAAUCUCUCCCUUCUCUUUUCCCUUCUUUCCCCAAAACAUAUUUUCUCCUCCUCUUUGAACCUUACUCCUCUAUUCUCUUUGAGUACCACCCUCUUCUCCUUUGAGGAGAGUUCUUAGCUGUGCUCCUCUUCAACUUCCCUUCCCUUUUAGUAUGUCUGCUUGGGAAAAUCAAGCAACUUUCCCCCUACCUAUCUCUUUAGGGGCGGGACUUGGGAAUGAGAGAUUAGGGCUAUAGUGUCAUAAAUAAUUUUUCUUUUCCUUUCUCACAUAAUUCCUGACCUCCUCCUAGGAGUCCUCCUGUUUUCUUAUCAUUGCUGAAGAGUUUCUAUGUAGCAUUCUUUUACAUAAGAAUCUCUGUUGUCUUCUUUCAUUCCAUGUCUAUGCUUGACACAUACUAAUAAAGCUCCUUCUUCACAGUUCCUUUACCCAUUUUCCUUUUUCUUUCUUUUUUCUUUCCUUCUUUCCUUCUUUCUUUUUUCUUCUUUUUAAAAGCGCCCCAAAUGUUUAUUUAUUUUUGAGACAGAGAGAGACAGAGCAUGAGUAGGGGAGGGGCAGAGAGAAUGGGAGACACAGAAUCCGAAGCAGGCUCCAGGCUCCCAGCUGUCAGCACAGAGCCCAAUGCGGGGCUCAAACUUGUCAACUGCGAGAUCAUGACCUGAGCCGAAGUCUGACACUCAACCGACUGAGCCACCCAGGUGCCUCCCCUCUUUUUUUUGACUUAUGUUAUUUUUAAUAGAUUUAUCUUCUCUUUACCUGUCUUCUACAUAGGGAGGGGCUGUAUCCAUUGAGGGAAUGGCAUUCCUUUCCCACUCUUGUCACCCAAUGCCUCGUCCUCCCUUGAUUUUUUCUUUGGCUUACCAUCAUUGUCCAUACCUACCUCCCUCUCCUCCAAUCUCCUCUUUAUCCAUAUCUUUAAUAACAUUUACUAUUUUUUAAAAUGAUUUUGGGGGUCUCAUUUUUUCCAGAGGUCCUCACACAAUUCUCUGUGCCGUGACCUAAAACUGUGUAUGUAGCAUUGAUUUCUGUGGUUUGGAGGUGAUGGGGUUGAGGGGCAGAAUAUCCUCAACCAUGGCGCUGAUGUUUUGGACUGGAUAAUCCUUUAUUGUUGGGGGGCAGUCCUGUGAACUGUGGGAUGUUUAGCAGCAUCCCUGACCUCCACUGUGACCACCAGAAAUAUUUCCAGACAUUGCCACAUGUCCCCCUGGAGGGCAAAAUCCACCACUACCCUCCCUGCCUAUGUUGAGAACUACUAUGCUGUAAUAUGGGCUUUCUGAAAUGGAUAGGUGGUUGUACUUUUUCUCUCCAGCUGCCAAUUUGUUUGCUUAGCCUGGGUUUUCAAAAGUGCGGUCUUUGUCUUACUUGGUAGGAGGUAGCUUCUUAAAAUUGCAGGUUUCUGAGCUCAUCCUAGACCUAUUGAAUCGGAAACAUUGGAAGUGGAAUCUGUAAAUCUGAUUUUUACAAGACGCUACCCCCUCUUCUCCCCUAACCAGGUAAUUCUUUUGCCCUAGGCUUGACCCUCCUGUGGCAUAACUGCUGCAUUACCCACAUUUUUUUCCUGCAAAUCUUGCUGGUGCUCCAGCUUUGCUUCCGCUCUUGGCCCCAUGAUGCCAACACAAAUAAGGAGGCCUCAGGUUACCAGGACAACUGGAGCACAGGAAACCGUAAAGACUCUGAGCUCCUACAGGCAUCAUGGACUGUGGCUAUGCUGGCUUGAUUUCUCUUGGGGGCUCAGUCAUACUUUCUAUUCCCCAUUCCCAAACUACCCAGACUGGCAGAUACCCAGGCCCAAUCCACAGAUCCUAAUUAUACAGACUGGGUGGUGGAAUCUACAAUGGGUGGAAUGGAGAAGGGUAAAUGAAGCUCUGUUACUCACACCAUUGAUAUUCCGUGUCAUGUUGGUGGUAAUUGAAUUUUUAUACUGGUGAGAAUUAUAUUCACCUGAGAGUUGAUGUGAUGACAGCCUUUGGAAUCAGGAUGCAUAAUAUUAUUUCUAUUAUUUAUAGUUGCUUCAGUGAACCUUGAGUCUUGAAUCUUUUUGGAUCCCUGGAUAGAGGUUUUCACAAUUAGCUUUGGGUCAAAAGAUUUAGCAAUCUGAUAAACUGAGAACAGCUAACGUUUAGCAAGAAAAGAAUAGUUACCAGAUAAUGAGUUUGAGUUCUAUUUACAUUUCAUUAUAAAGCUAGUCUUUGUUUUAAGGUAGAUCAUCUGGUUUGAUUAAGUCUCUAAAGCCAUGAAUAAAUGAAAAUUUGCUUGCACAUAUGGGCACUUAGAUGCCUAGAAAAUGUUGAAUUGAUCCAGAGCUGGAGCAGGCCACCUCCAUGGAGCAUCAUGGCAGGUGAGAGCAAGAGGAAAUAAAGGGUGAUACGGUUGACUUGAUAGCUCUUUUCAAAUAGUUGAAGGAUUCUCCUGUGGAGGAGGGGUCAGAUUUACUUGCUUUAGUUCCAGAAGGUAGAAUAAGCACCUUUAUUUCAGAUGACAGUGAUAGAGGGACAGACUUUGGUUCAGUAAGGAAGAAUGUUUGAUUAAUUGGCUGACAGACUGGAAUGAGCUGAACGGUUAGUGAAUUAUUUGUGAUGGUAUUGUUUAUAUGGAGGUUAGAGUACUGAUUGCACAAGGUUUGGAUGAGAUUUGGGACAUUAAAUUGAGUUUGGCCUGGAAGAAAAGCAGGCGAAUUUAUUGGAGGUCAAUUUACCCUUUCUAUUACAUGAUUCUGUGGCAACUCUUAAAGUCAUUACUGUUUUCCUAGGCACCUCUGCCAAGUUUACCCCCCUGAGUCAUUGAAUAUUAGAGUUGGUAGUAGAGUCUUUAGAAAUUUCUCAAAUGUUCGCUAGUCCUCUGGAGAUAUCUCAAGAAUGUCACAGAGGUGGCUGAGAGAAGUGAGAUGAAGGACAGCUGAGGCUCUGAGCCUUUUCCCAAGGCUUCAGCCAGAAGAGUCUUGCCUUUUUCCCCCCCCAGAAAAAAAAAGGGGGAGGGGGGUUCUACUGGAAAAAAAUUGUAAAAGCCCUGAUAUCCUAAGUUCUUCAUUUUACUGACAGAGAAACUAAGAUACGGAGCAGAGAAGUGUCUUGCCAGAAGUCACACAGCCAAUACAUUUCAGGGUUGGAAUUCAAAUUUAGCUCUUCUAAUUCCAGGCUUCAAAUCUACUAGUCUAACUUCUUAUAAUUCAGUAAUAAGUUUCUCUCCAUUUCUCUGGCUCCACUAUAAGCCAGAAUUUUAUUUCUUCAGAUCUAUCCCCUGUUAGCCACUGAACAGGUCUCUCUGCUACCCAAUCUCUCCUUCUUCUGGUCUAUAUUAUAUUCACAGCUGCCAUGUUAUACUUCUUGAAGCAUUGUCUUUAUCAUGAGAUUUCCCUGCUGAAGAACCUUCUCUGUAUUGCCUAGAAGGACUUUUCAGCCUGACACAUUGUUAGUAUUCUUUAGGAUCCUUAUUGUUCAACUAGCUGAACUUUUGCCCAAGUCCAUCCUGUUAUGGGUAAUUAAAGGGCUAUAUAAAAUAGUGAGAUUAACUGAGUCCCACCCUACUUAUAGACACCACUUUUGGCAGAAUUUUUGUGUGGAGAGUUUUAAUCGGGCAUGAUGAAAAGAUACAAAAGAAAUAGAAGAUUACAGCUCGUGAACGGCAAGUUGCACAACAAUAUGUAUAAUACCCAAUUUAUGUGACACAUACAGUUAUUUGUUUACAAACAAGAAUGAGAUGUAUAGAAAGCAUCUGGAAGAAAAUACACCAAACUGAUAACAGAAA